UACGUAGGGAGCAAGCGUUGUCCGGAAUCAUUGGGCGUAAAGCGCGUGUAGGCGGCUCGAUAAGUCUGGUGUGAAAACUGGAGGCUCAACCUCCAGCUGUCAUUGGAUACUGUCGGGCUAGAGUCCGGAAGAGGAGAGUGGAAUUCCUGGUGUAGCGGUGGAAUGCGCAGAUAUCAGGAGGAACACCAAUGGCGAAGGCAGCUCUCUGGUACGUGACUGACGCUGAGACGCGAAAGCGUGGGGAGCGAACAGG
rnacentral:rRNA from 1 species